rnacentral:tRNA from 2 species
GGGUUAGUAGCUCAGCUGGAUAGAGCACCGGUUUCCGGAACCGGGGGUCCCAGGUUCGAAUCCUGGCUAGCUCACCA